UAAACAUUGAUAGUACACCACAUAAACUAUCCGCCCGGGCACUACGAGCGCUAGCUUAAAACCCAAAGGACUUGGCGGUGCUUAAGAUCCACCUAGAGGAGCCUGUUCUAAAACCGAUAACCCCCGUUAAACCUCACCCCCUCUUGUUAUCCCAGCCUAUAUACCGCCGUCGUCAGCUUACCCUGUGAGGGUCUAAAAGUAAGCAGAAUUAGCAUAGCCCAAAACGUCAGGUCGAGGUGUAGCGCAUGAGGGGGGAAGAAAUGGGCUACAUUCCCUAAUAUAGGGAAUACGAAAGACAAAUUGAAAUAUUUACCAGAAGGAGGAUUUAGCAGUAAGCAGAGAACAGAGUGCUCCGCUGAAAUCGGCUCUAAGGCGCGCACACACCGCCCGUCACUCUCCCCGAAAAACAUUAAUCAACUUAACUAAAACCUAAGACACAUAGAGGGGAGGCAAGUCGUAACAUGGUAAGUGUACCGGAAGGUGCACUUGGAAAAAAUCAGAACAUAGCUAAACAAGAAAAGCAUCUCCCUUACACCGAGAAGUCAUCCGUGCAAAUCGGAUUGCUCUGACACUCAACAGCUAGCCCCCCCCCCCCCAAAAAGCACAACAUCCAUAUAAAAUAACCCCUAAUUAACUACACACCCACAAAACAAAUCAUUUUUCCUCCCUAGUAUGGGCGACAGAAAAGGACAAAGGAGCUAUAGAGAAAGUACCGCAAGGGAACGCUGAAAGAGAAAUGAAAUAAACCAGUAAAGUAUAAAAAAGCAGAGAUUUGAGCUCGUACCUUUUGCAUCAUGAUUUAGCCAGCAAAUUCAAGCAAAGAGCACUUAAGUUUGACACCCCGAAACUAAGUGAGCUACUCCAAGACAGCCUAACUAAAGGGCCAACCCGUCUCUGUGGCAAAAGAGUGGGAAGAGCUUUGAGUAGAGGUGACAGACCUACCGAACUUAGUUAUAGCUGGUUGCCUGAGAAUUGAAUAGGAGUUCAGCUUCUAGGCUUCUUAACUCAUAUCGGUAUCACCACCCCAGACUUUAAGAAACCAAGAAAGUUAGUCAAGGGGGGCACAGCCCCCUUGAAAAAGGACACAACCUUACCAGAUGGGUAUCGAUCAUAAUAUAACAAGGCAACAUACCCUAGUGGGCCUAAAAGCAGCCAUCUUAAUAGAAAGCGUUAAAGCUCAAGUACUAAUUUACAAGCCUAUUAUCCUGAUAAAAUAUUCCCAACCCUCUAACCCCUACCAGGCCAUCCCAUGCAAACAUGGAAGAGACCAUGCUAAUAUGAGUAAUAAGAGAACACUCCUUCUCUCCGCGCACACAUGUAAAUCGGAACGGACCCCCCACCGAAUAUUAACCGGCCCCAAGACAAAGAGGGAACUGAAAAACAAAAUAAAAUACAAGAAAAACCCCCACUAAAUCAACCGUUUAACCCACACUGGUGUGCAUACUAGGAAAGACUAAAAGAAAAAGAAGGAACUCGGCAAACACAUAAAGCCUCGCCUGUUUACCAAAAACACCGCCUCUUGCAAACAAAAAAUAAGAGGUCUUGCCUGCCCUGUGACAUAAACUGUUUAACGGCCGCGGUAUCCUGACCGUGCAAAGGUAGCGCAAUCACUUGUCUUUUAAAUGAAGACCUGUAUGAAUGGCAUAACGAGGGCUAAGCUGUCUCCUUUUUCCAGUCAAUGAAAUUGAUCUCCCCGUGCAGAAGCGGGGAUAACCACAUAAGACGAGAAGACCCUAUGGAGCUUUAGACACCAAACAGAUUUUGUAAAACCUCCCCCCUCAUACGGGAACGAACAAAAAAACACCUGUCCUAAUGUCUUUGGUUGGGGCGACCGCGGGGAAACAAAAAACCCCCACGUGGAACGGAGACACCUUCCCCUGAAAUAAGAGUUACAACUCUAACUAGCAGAACUUCUGACCUUAUGAUCCGGCACACGCCGAUCAACGAACCGAGUUACCCUAGGGAUAACAGCGCAAUCCUCUUUUAGAGCCCAUAUCGACAAGAGGGUUUACGACCUCGAUGUUGGAUCAGGACAUCCUAAUGGUGCAGCCGCUAUUAAGGGUUCGUUUGUUCAACGAUUAAAGUCCU
rnacentral:misc_RNA from 1 species